GUAGUUUUAUUUUUCUGAGAAAUUUGAACACACACACACACACACACACACACACACACACACACUGCCCAUUGCCUAUUUAUUGUUUCUCUUCUAAAAUUGACUAUUUGUAUCUUUAGCCCAUAGUUUGUUAUUAGGUUGCUGUAUUUUAAAAACUGGAUAUGCAGGAUUUAUUGAAUUAUAUAUAUUUUGUUAUUUAUUGCAUAUACUGAAUUAAACAUUUCUUGUUGGUUUUAGGGAUUGUAAAUAUCUUUUUGCUGUGUCUGGCUUGUGUCCGUCUUACUUUUUAUUUAUUUAUUUAUUUUUGAAGGUCUCACUUUGCUGUCCAGGCUGGAGUGUAGUGAUGUGAUCUUAGCUCACUGCAACCUCCACGUUUGGGCUCAAGCCAUCCUCCCACCUCAUUCUCCUGAGUAGCUGGGACUAUGGGUAUAUGCCACCAUGCCUAGAUGAUUUUUGUACUUUUUAUGGAGAUGAGAUUUCACCUUGUUGCCCAGGCUAGCUUCAAACUCCUGAGCUCAACAAUCUGCCAGACUUGGACUCCCAAAGUGCUGGAAUUAUAGGCAUGUGCCAGUGUGCCUUACCCAGUCUCAGUUUUUAUAUGUGUCUUUUAGAGUCCGGAAGGUUUAGUUUUAGUGUACACAAAUGUAUUCAUCUUUUUCUUUAUGGCCAAUUUUUUUUGUGUGUCUUGUAUAAGAAAAAUUCUCUACCUUGAUGUGAUAGAGAUGUUCUUUAUUUUCUUCUAAAGGUUUUAAAAUUUUGCUUCUUGAAUUUAUUUUAUUAAAUGUACCUGGAAUUGAUAUUUGUGUAUGAUGUAUGUAGCUAUCUGAUUUCAUUUUAGUUUUCUCACGUGUAUAUGUUGAUCCGUAUCAGCUGGAUACACAAGGGGAAUUAUCUGCAAAUCACUGGGGGUUCUUCCUUUGUGCUACUCUCUCUCUUCUCUUUUACUUUGUCUUCUAGCUCUUGGCUCCUUAAUUUCCCAGAAUUCCCAGCUCUAUCUCCUUAAUUCAGAGAGUACACUAGGCUAGGCCUUGGUUCCUCUUCCUUGUGCUGUGACUUGGAAACUCUCUUAAGGCAGUAAACUGGAACAAUGACAGAGCCUACAACUGUUUUAGAUUUUGGAUUCUUCUGGAUUUUGUAAUUUUGCAUAAAUAUAGUGAGAUAUCUUGAGGAAUGGGGCCCAGGUCUCAAUGUGAAAUUCGUUUAUGUCCAAUAUACAACUUACACACAUAGCUUGAAGGUAAUUUUAUAGAAUGUUUAAAAAUCAUUUUGCACAUAAACAGACUUUGUGUACAAACAUGUCCCAAGUGUCAUCAAAAAGCAAAGGUGUCACUAUCUCAGCCACCCAUACAGGCAAUCUGUGAUCAUCUGGCAUCAUCAUUAUUCCUGACUAACAUGAGUAACAGUUCAAGAAGUGUCUGUCUGUUUGGGGCUGGAGAGGUAGAGCAAAGAAAAUUCCAGAAAAAAAAUGCAGCGCAAAGAAUUGGAAGUGAGAAGGUGUUUGAAUAACUGUUGGUUGUCUAAUGUCACUCCAGAAGAAGAUUUUUACAAAGGCGUAGGGCAAGAAACAAGUAGUACAGAGAAUUAGGGGCGGUCAUGAAGGCCAUUAGAUGCCAUUAUCGUGUUUGUUGUGCAAGCCUGGGAAGAUGUCAAGAUCCUGAGCCAAGGUGGGGUACAACUGACAGGUGCAUGAGGAGAUUGCUUCAGUGGCGGCUUACAGAAAAGAUAAGCGAGGGCUGAUUAUCCUGGGGAGAGACUAAGGAUUGAGGAGGAGGGUGAUAAAGAGAGGGAGAUAGGGGGGUAAGAUACUGAUGAGAUCCACACUCUGGAAGUGGCAAUAGGAACAGAAGAAAAGACUGGGAAGGAUGGUCAGGUAGUGGGCUCAAGGAGAGGUAAGAGCCAAAGAUAAAGUUGAGGUUUUCUUGCUCUGGUGAGGAUGGUGAUGAUGGAAAAGAAUUGAGAUAUGGAACUAAAAGAUGAGCUGUGGAAAAUACAUUUGUUUUGUUUCUUUUUUCUUUUUUAUUUUUUGAGACAGGGUCUUACUCUAUUGACCAGGUUGGAGUGCAGUGGCGUGAUCAUGGGUCACUGCAGCCUCUAUCUCCUAGUCUCAAGUGAUUCUCCUAACUCAGUCUCCAAAGAAGCUGGGACUACAGGUGUGCAGCACUGUGGUUGGCUUUUUUUUCUUUUGUCAAUGUGAGGUCUCACUCUGUUGCCAAGACUAAUAUUGAACUCUUGGGUUCAAGUGAUCCUCCUGCCUAGACCUCCCAAGGUUCUGGGAAUACAGGUGUUAGCCACUGUGCUUGGCUGUGCUUUUUUCUUUUAAAUUCUCAUAGAAUUUUAGUUUUGUGGAUAAAGUACAAUAAUCCUUUUUCUUUUGAAAAAAAUUGGCAGGCAAGAACUAUGUGUUCUGUGGACUAUGAUUUAUAGUGUGUAGUUGUUGGAUACAUUUCACUGUCUUUGGUCUAACCACUCAAAAGAGAGCUCUUGCUGGGACACAUAUUCCAAUUUGGUGUUUCUGUAUUUUACAAGGGAAUUGAAAUGCACCACUUCAGAGUGAAUUAGAAGUGAGUUUGUACAUUUUUCUGCUUAGUGGAACUCAAAUAGUUUCCCUGGGAAUAUGUUCUCUAUUUUUCCAACACCUUUCCCUUAUUCCCCAAACAGAUUAGCACAUGUCUCUCAUACUCCCCACAUUGUCAUCAGAGUAAGACAGCGAGAGGGAGAGAUCGGUGUAGGGCAUGAUAAUUUUACACUUGAGACAGUGAUAUGUACGAUCUGAAGUUUUUAAACUCUUGGAAGACUCUUGGGUGCGAGAUAUCUUUCGUGUUCCAGCACGAAACCAAACAGCACAUGCAGUAAUCCCUAAAGGUAUCUGGGCCCAUAGACGCUGCACCUGAAGGCUUGUAUUGUUCAGUGUUGGGAAACAUUUCAAGUCGUUUCCUCAAUGCCCAGUUUCACAUUUAUAAGGUAUGAAAAUUAAAAAGAAUGCCUUUGUUAAUAUUUAACAGGGCUGACAGUAGGAAAUGUAGACAGAGUUUCUCUUACCUCUUCUUUUAACACCUUUCUCCCGUAUUUAAUCUCAUGGGAGUCCUUUCUCUUUUUCUUCCACUCUCUGUACUACAGCCCACAGACCCCUGGAACUCUCACAUCCUCUAACUUCCCUGGGCCACAGCUGGGAGAAAUUCUCUGACGUAGACCUGGAAACACUCAGAAGAGCUAGUUAAUCUCAUUCUGAAGAAGACGCUUCAGAAGUUACCUGUAUUUAUAUCUAUAUCUAUAACUGUAUCUCUAUCUAUGUAUCUAUCUAUCUAUUUAAAAGAGGCCACUUGUGUAGUAGGGUUAUAAAUUUACGUGCAUUACACCCAGAGUGUUCAGAAAAAUAAGUAACAUGAUCAAGAAAGCAGAGGAGAAAGCAAAUAACUAAAGGUGGCAUACAAUUUAAAUCUCGUUUGACAGAAUGUAAAUAGGCCUUCAUAAUUGCUCUCCUCCCUCUUCUUUCCCCCAAGAGGUAUCUCUCUGUCCUGGGAGUGUUUUCUGAUGUGGGGGAGGAGCCCUGAAGUUUCUCGGUGUAUCCCUGUUCUGUCCUGUGUCCGUGGCCCUUGUCCUGUGGGUGCACACUGCCCUACUGGUGAUCCAGGCUGGGUGAACUAAUUUCUCUUGCUUGGCCAGGACCUGGAAAUUCUUCAUCAAUGAGUCAGUUUCCUCCCAGGCCUGAGGCAGGUCCCACUCAGACCCACAGCUACUUGUGCCUUUGGAGCUUCCCCUCAGAGUAGGGGGAGGGUCAUGGGGCUUGCCAAGUCCUAUCCUUACACCCUUUGUGACCUGCAAGUGACCAAGAAAGUGCUUUUUUAAUAACUUCUGCCUGUAUUCCAUGCUGUUUGCUGUGGCUGAUAGGAUUCGUGUGAUUUGCCUUUAAGGAUUGUCAGUUCACUUGGCAGAGACCCUGUGACAAAGGGGGAAAGAUGGAUGACAGGGUUUGGCUGUGUCCUCACCCAAAUCUCAUCUUGAAUUGUAGCUCCCAUACUUCCCACAUGUCAUGGAGGUAAUUAAAUCAUGAGGGCAGGUCUUUCCUGUACUGUUCUUGUGAUAGUGAAGAAGUCUUAUGAGCUCUGAUGGUUUUAUAGCUGGGAGUUCCCUUGCACAUGCUCUCUCUUGCCUGCCACCAUGCAAGAUGUGACUUCGCUCCUCUUUUGCCUUCAGCCAUGAUUGUGAGGCCUCCCCGGCCAGGUGGAACUGUGAGUCCAUUAAACCUCUUUUCUUUAGAAGUUACCCAGGCUCCGGUAUGUCUUCAUUAGCAGCAUGAGGGCAGACUAAUGCAAUGGACUUUGCUCUUCAUAUGAAUUCAGGUCUCUGCUCUUCUUAUUGUCCACCAGCAUGUAAAGUGACCAUAGAAUUUUGUGUCCCAUGUUGGAAUACUUUUGAGACUAAAAGGUAGUGCUAAAAUAACUAUAAUUAUACAAUAUUUUCAAAUAUAUGUUUAUUGACUGAUGUGUUGAUUUUAUAAUUUUGACAAAGUAAUCAAAUAGUUCUAUUCAAAAUUAUUUCAAAAUAAAAUGCUUUUUACUAAAAAUAACAAUGAUCUAUGUCUGUGUACAGGUAAAAAUGGGAACAACAGCCAUCCCUAACUAUGAGCUGAGCCUGCAAGACCCUUGAAUUCACAUUCCUGCUGCAGGAGCAGGGCACUCAAGGGUUGGGACUGCAGAGCUAAUGGGCUGCCAAGGUCAAUCCUUGGGGGUCCCCUGUGCCAGGGCUGAGUUGUCCUCAGAGAGUUUCUAGAUCUUGGUCACAUAAAUAGACACCAAGUGAUACACCUCAGGUGCCUUUGGAGCAGCGCCCACUUGCUGGGCAAGGACCACCACUACAGCAGCAAAGAGGCCAAUAAAUCCAGUCUUAUUCCACGGCUGGUUCUGCAUGCCAUAGCAAAGUCUUGAGAUCCUAGGGCUUUGGCCUUUUGCUAUCUUUGUAGGAAUUAUUAAAGCCAGAAACUCUAGUCUGCAGAUAAAGCACCUAGAGCAAUAGAAGAAGGAGGUGCCUAAAGGAGGCCUCCCAUAGAAUUCUUUUUCCCCUGAGGGUAUGACGACCACAGGAAGGCACAAAAGCACUGGCUACAGCUCUUCAGUGAGACAGGACCCUUUAAAGCUAGUAAAAUACCAGAGUCAGCAUGAUAGUCAUGAUCUAGGAAAUACUGCCUCGUAGAAAACAAUGAAAAGAAACUAGUUAUGCUGGGAUUAAGCAGAACAAACACUAUGCUGAAAUUUAUCAGAUGAAGAAAGUGAAACAGAGAAACCCAUUUACAUUAUUUCCAAGUGAGUUUGAAUGGCUCUCUAAGUACCGUCUUUAGUUACCUGCCUUCAACUCCCACUAAAGUUUUCAAAUAAUUAAUAUGUUAGAAAUAGCAUUCUAGUAGUAUUUUUCUAAGGGAACGGGAAAAGGAUAACUUUUGGCUUUCAUUGAAGGGAAUGCAGAAGCUCUGACAGGAAAUUUAAAUCAGAAACCCAGCCCAGUUCCAUAUGAUGCGAGUCCUUUUGGAAAUGGCUCUGUCAUCAGUUAGUGGUGACCUUGCAAGCUCUUUUAACAGCCGACUGUCUGUUUUCUCAUGGGGAAAUGGAAACUGGGCAGCUUCUAGGUUCCAAUGGUCCUUCCAGCCUUUCUAAGGACAUUGAACUUUUUCAUCUGGGGAAGAUAGGGAAUGGCCACAGGGGUUUAAGCAGUAGAGGCAUAAUAACAUUUGGGUUUUAGGAAUCACUGGCGCCAUUCUGAGGCAGAAUAGGACAAUGACUGAAGGUGAUCAAUACUUCUGGGAUGAUGGCCAGAAAAAAAGUUAAAGACUCCAGAAAACAGCAUUUCUCUGCAACCAGAGAGCACUAGCCCAUGACAGAAGAGGUCCUUGAGGUCAAGUCAUACCCAGGGGUCUGAUGCUCUUGAAGACACACACACACAAAAUAAUAAUUCUUUGCUCCUACAGAAUUUCUCUAGCUAAAGGCAUUUUUUUUUUCUGUCUAGAUUUGCCCCAAAUUGUGUUCUAUAGGGUUCAUCCUAUUGUUUCAAACUGAGAGUCAGGUGUUUUAAAAAUUUAGAUGCAAUAUUUCUAUCACGGACCUCUCGAGCAAACAUUAAGAUCAAUACCUUGAACUGAAUUCAAGAUUCCUGGUAUCUUUAAAAAAGGAAGGAAGCCGUUGUUUUACAGAACUAAAGGUAAAAAUCUACCAAAAGCAAUACCUGGAAUGCAUAUAAUUCUGAAACAAAUGGCAGUGGGUUACAAAAAUGUAAACAUUUACAAACACCAUUCUGCGAAUUAUGUCUUAUCUCCUGGCAAAGCCAUUUAAGGCCGAGUAAGGGCAAUGCCUCCUUGUAUGACUCCACAUCCUGAGGAGUGCUGGUCUCUCUCACUGUCUCCUAAUUGCAUGUGUUUUCCUUAGUAAGCCAAAAUCUGUAUAGCCAGGGUCACUCUUGGUAAUCACCCAGCAUUUAGUGCAAUUUGCCUUCCUACCCUUUGUUGUUAUUGUUUUAAAAAACAAGGCACACAUUCUUUUUUUUUUAGCACAAUUUAAAAAAAAACAAAAAACUUGAUUGGUCCACAUGGUAGAACUCUGCCAGUGGAGAUUUUGAAUGAGAAAGAGUUUAUUUGAGCAGCUGUCUUCUGUUGUAGAGUAUCUUGUGACUUGCCUCAAGGAAAAUGUCUAUAUUCCCCAGACUGUUGAAUUGCAGCUCCUGUUUUUGACUCUUUGGGGCUGGCUGUCUCUUUAUGCUAUCUGAUACCAGCUGUAGCAGGCAAUGGGAGAGGUAUCUUCUCUGCAGCCUGCUGAUGUCAGGGUCUUGGAGAGCUCAGGUUCGAGGUCAAAUCUGCUCUGGCAGGAGUGCUUUAUUUGUAUUGCUUUUGUACCCCACAUUUCCCAGAUCAGAAUACUGGGAGUCAGGAUAACAGCUAUAAAGCAGUUUAAAAAAAAAAAUCUGUUGCAGUACAUUCAGAAGGACUCACAACCCACGGCAAAUUGCUUUCCAGUAAUCCUAGGAGCCCUCAGGGAGUGUCUUCUCUUUUUGUAGUCUUACCAUCAAGCUUGUCCUGCAUUUUCCUCCUCUCCUGAUCCUGUUUGCUGGGAAACUGUGUGUGGUGACUCUGUCCCUAUCAUUCACCAGCAAUGCUAUCUCUGAGACUGGUGCCUGCUGGGGGAGGCCUGGGUGGAAGAUGUCUUCUGUUUCCGCAUAAUGCUGGUGCCCGCUGAAGGGGAGAUCUCAGCAGAGGACACAUCUUCUGUCGCCAUAAAUGUUGGUGCCCACACCAUGAAUGUUUUACUCUGAGUGAGACAUUGCUCUCAGACUAGAGAUUAACAUUUUCAUGGGUGUCCUCCUGCUCACAGAAUAGCAUCAGCCAUAGAGGGUACAUGACAAUUUCUGCUCCCUGCUGGGUGCAGGACUCUGUUUGAGGAGAAUGUAUGUAGCUCCCUACAUCUGUCUUUCCUUGUACUUUUCUGUCCUCUUCCCACAGGAGUAUGUCCUCCUCCCAUCCCUAGGAAGUGUGCUAGGGUCUCUCAGCCUGGCUCACUCCACACAUAACAAGACAGGCUUGAGACUUGGGUUUCUCAGACCUGAAGCCCAAACUGGAAUCCAUGCUAUUUUCGAAGAGUAGACCUAGGAGGAAAAUUGUGCAAGUUAAAGCCUCUUUUCUUUUUCUCCAGGGUCUGGCUUGGCCUUUAUCGUACAUCUUCAUAUUUAUCUACUUCUAGUCCUCAAAUCAAACUGAAACUAUCAUCAAAUUGGUGUUUGUACUGCCUCCUACUUUUUUCUACCUCUUCUUGUUUUCUCACUCGAUUUUCUUUUCCUAAGUUAACACUUUGUCCUCUUUUCUAUCUAUUUAAGUCUAUUCUCUCUUUCCUGUCCCUCCCUCUCUCUCUAUUUCCUGUCCCUCCCUCCCUCUCUCCCUCCCUCUCUCCCUCCCUUCCUUCCUUCCUUCUUUCCUCCUUCCCUCCCUCCUUCCCUUCCCUUCCUUCCUUCUUUUCUUCCUUCCUCUUCUUCUUCUUCUCCUCCUCCCUCCCUCCCUCUUUUCUUUCUACAAAUAUUAAUUGGGUGGCUACUGUGUAAGGUAUAGUAUUAUAUUCUAGGGAUACAAACACAGUUCAGUCAUAACUUCUUCUUCUAGAAACUUAAAAUUCAACCUCACAUUGUCUCUUUUCUGAUUUCUUUAAUUUGUCCUGCUUAUGAAGUUCCUUUCCUUCUCUGAAUUCCUAGUGUACACAUGACCUGCACUGUAAGCUUUUUUAUAUUUCAUUAUUAGAUUUUAAAUCUCUAGCCUGUCUUGGACUGGAUUGUCCCUGUCUACAGACACAUUGGAUUUGCUUGAUUUGUAUGAAUGACAUAUAAAUGUAAACAUAUUUUUGUCAUGAAAGUCUUUUUUUGGCCUUAUGAUAUGACUGUGUACUAAAAGUACUUAUUAUAUACUAUGUUCCUAUUCUGUAAGCUGGGGUGGAGGUGGAGAAGCAAUUAUGGAUAAUGAUAACCUGGGAAACACCUUCUCUGAAUAUAAAAAAAUCUAUUCAUUAGGUGGCAUUCACCUUUCCAAAAUUGUUUUCAGCCACCAUCUCUUUUGAUACUCAUGAUAGAUAUUAUUUGCUAUCAUUUUAAGCCGCAUUUUAGGUAGGGAGACUGAGGAUCUUAGAAUGUUAAAUGAUUUAUUCAAAACUAGAGUGUGACCCCUGUUCUUCUGAAAGCAAGACUGACACAAUCUCCAACACCUUUUAUCUCAUCUUGCCUCCCCUCACUUCUUCACACCCCAUCUCACCUUCCUCCUCUCACCUUGCCUUUCUCAUAUUGCUGGAGGAACUCUUUUAAAAUGAUGAAAGACUAUGUAGUCUCUCACUCUCAUCGCAUCGCAAUGCAGAAGGACAUUGUAAGUAGGUUAGGUAUAUUUGUUCUUUGUGGUUCUAACAUUGAAUUUUGCCUCUUUAAUAGGAUAGGCUAUGUGCUGAAGCCAUUUGCACAUCUACCUAUGUCUGUAAAUGGCCUGUCAGCUUGAGGAGAGGGGCUGUCACUUGCUCAUCUCUUUGUCUCUAGCUCCAUGCACAGAGCUGGGGCCCACCAGUGUGGAAACUGGAAUAGAGUAUAAGAUGCCUGCAGGGAGUUCAAAGAUAUAUCAAGUUUCUGUGUAGAAGUGAAGACUUGAGCUCUUGCUCCCUUCUAGCAGGACUGGUCUAGCCCAUUGGUGUGUGCCGAGUUGAGAAGUGGGGUGGUCUAUGGGUGAGAUCACACAAUUUUUUGGAGACGAUAAGUAAUGCUGAUGAUUAAAAUGUUGCCUUGUCUCUGAUCCUGAGGUCUCACAGCCCAGCUGGAAUCAUUCUCAUUGGGUUUGGGGUAUUCCUCAAGAACCCUCAUUGUAGAGGAUGCCAGCAAAAAGGUAGCAUUUAUCACCUUCAGUGUUUAACACAACGCAACAUCUACAUUUGAUGGCAGUACGUUCUCUAUCUUUUCUGGAAUUCCUACCCAUUGUGCCCCUUCAUUAUUUAGAGUUAGUUUACAGAGCUGCUGUAACAAAGUACUUUACCACAAACUUGAUUGCUUAAAACAACAGAAAUCUACUCUCUUAUAGUUAUGGAGGCUCUGGGUCUGAAAUCAAGGUGCUGGCUGGGCCGUGCUCCUCUGAAGGCCCUGGGGCAGAACCCUUCCUUACCUCUGCCAGCUCCUGGUAGUCUGCUUCCUUGGCUUGUGCCUGCGUGACUCCAGCCUCCGCCUCAGUUUCACAUAGUCAUCUUCUCCCUGUGAACAUCUGUUAUGUGGAAUUAAGGGACUACCUUACCCUAGUAUGACCUAAUUUCAGCCCGACUAAUUACAUCUACAUCAAUGCUGGACUAUAACAUAUAUUUUGUUUUUGGAAAUCCAAUCAAUCCCCAAUAAUUAUUACAGAGGCAGGGAAGCAUAUUGUGUCUCAAAGGCAAUCAAAAUUAGCCAAACCUAAGAUUAGUCAGGAUGCCUAGAUGCUUUCCAGGAGCAGAGAGAUGCCUCCUGGACCUGCGGCCCUAGAGCACUGUCGUGGUUCAUAUUGAGUGGGAACUUUAUUGGAUUGUAGGAGGCAAAGCAUUGUUCUUGGGUGUGUCUGUGAAGGUGUUGCCAAAGGAGAUUAACAUUUCAGUCAGUGGACUGGGAGAGGCAGACACACCCCCAAUCUGGGUGGGCACCAUCUAAGCAGCUGCUAGUACAGCUAGGGUAAAGCAGGCAGAGGAACGUGGAAGGACUAUGGCUGACUGAGUCUUCCAGCCUUCAUCUUUCUCCCGUGCUGGAUGCUUCCUGCCCUCCAACGUUGGACUCCAAGUUCUUCAGCUUUUGAACUCUUAGACCUACACCCGUGGUUUGCCAGGGGCUCUCGGGCCUUUGGCCACAGACUGAAAAAUGCACUGUUGGCUUCCCUACGAUUGAGGUUUGGGGACUCAGACUGGCUUCCUUGAUCCUCAGCUUGCAGAUGGUCUAUUGUGAGACUUCGCCUUGUGACCACGUGAGUCAAUACUCCUUAAUAAACUCCGUUUCAUAUAUACAUCAAUUCUGUUAGUCCUGUCCCUCUAGAAGACCCUGAAUAAUACGAGUGGUAAUGUGCAAGAGUUCCUUGGGUUCCACAGGGGAGAGCCUGUUCUUAUGGGAGGGCGGUGGGAAUGGGAAAUGGGGAAACUCAGUACAAGCGCCUGAGUGGGCGGGGCCGUGGCAGCAAGACCCGAUGGCAGAUGAGGGUUGUGGGAAAGGACUCAGAGCUGACUCAGGAGGUACGCUGGGAGGGAUUCAGGACGGAUCCUUCCAGUUUGUGCUCCUGUCCAAGACUCAGAGGGGUGCUGCACACGCUGUUAACCACGCUUCCGGAAAGGGAAUUUACAGUACUCACGCAUUAACUUCACCACAAUAAAUGUGUUCUGUGAAACCUUGAGGCCAGCUCAUUUUCAUUCUUCAUCCAUAUCCAGGACUCCCCUUGCCAUGGCCUCUGCCCACUUAAUUUACUUAUAUUGCUUCUGUACACGUCUCUAUGCUCUUUUAGAUUUUAAAUUCCUUUGAGGGUGGUCAUUGUAUCUUCUCCAUUUUUAUUCCAUUCUCCAGAAUUUAGCACUGACAUUUACAUAGAGUAGGUGCUUAAUAAAUGUGAAGUUAAAGUAAGCUUAUCAGUGUAUUAGGCUAUUUUUGCAUUGCUACAAAGAAAUACCGGAGACUGGGUUAUGUAAAGAAGGUAAGUCAAUUGGCUUAUUGUUCUGCAGGCUGUAAAAGAAGCUUGGCUCUGACAUCUGCUUCUGGUGAAGGCCUCAGGAAACUUAUUAUUGUCCUGGAAGGUGAAGGGGAGCAGAUGCAUCACAUGGUGACAGCAGGAGCAAUAAAGAAAAAGAAGGAGGCGCCACAAGCUUUUAAAGAACCAGAUUUUGCGUGAACUCAGUGAGAAUUCCUGAAUCACCAGGGGGAUGACAGGAGAACAAGAUCAACUCCAAAGACUUAAUUACAGGGCAGAAGAAGAAAUCUAUAAAGGACUUAAAGGUGACAGACACCAACGUUAGCCUAGACCUACACGGGGCCAGGAUUAUCAAUGCCACUGUCUUCUGCCUCCACAUCUUGUCCCACUGGAAGUUCUUCAGGGGCAAUAACACACAUGAAGCUGUCAUCUCCUAUGAUAACAAUGCCUUCUUCUGGAAUACCUCCUGGAGGACCUGCCUGAAGCUGUUUUACAGUUAACUUUUAUCUUAUGAGCUAAAAGGUGCAGGAGAGAUGCCUCAAGGGACAGAGAGAUCUGAAAUUGUUACAUUAAAUAAGUUUCCUAGGCAGAGCAAGAAAUGGCCUGGAGUCUGCUCCUGGUUACAACUUUAAUCAUUACAUACAAGCUGACUGCGAAAAUCUAUCUGAAUGAUGAACAAAAUACUUUAAUCUGGACUUCAUUACGUUACGUUUGCAACUUUGGAGUUCUGAAUUUGUAAUAAGGGCAUGAAAGAUUUACCUGCAAUGCCAUUCUCAUUGAAUUCCAGUAAAUCCAAGAAAGAAUGUGUGGCUUCAUGGAAUGGAGCAAAGAGGUGAAAGACCAGGUGGAGGACCUGGUGCCCCGACACUGCAGGCACAACAGUGUGGACAUGGAUCCUCUCUGCAGAGCCCUGCAUUCAGCCACAUGCCUAGGACAGUGGGAAGUACAGGAAUGUUCCUGUGCCUGUUUACUUGUGACAAGAUCAUCAAGUUUCCCAGCUCAGAGGGGAUACUGAGAGUGGGGGAAUAGGGUCUGUCUCUGCUGCCAAGGCUGGAGUGCAGUAGCAUGAUCUCAGCUCACUGAAACCUCCACCUCCUGGGCUUAAGCCAUCCUCCCACCUCAGCCUCUAAAGAUCCUGAAACUUAAAGAAGGGGAAUGCUUAUAUUUUCCAUAGACAAAAGUGGUGCUUCUAUGAUAACAGGAAUCAUUCGAAGACGUGUUGUUUAGAAGGUGAUAAAAAAAUUCUGAUGAGAGAAAACAUGGAAGAAGGAAAAGGCAUAAAAGGUAAGUUUGAGUGUCCUGCCUACCAAGGAGAAAUUAGAUUUGCUAAGAGCGUAUUUCGACUUUGGGAGGCCAAGGUGGAUCGGUUGCUUGAGCCUAGAGGUAGAGACCAGCCUGGGCAACUUGGCUGUCUCUUAAAGCAAAGAAACAAACAAAAAACCCCCAAAACAAAAAACAAUUUAAACCCCAACAUUAGCCAGCUAUGGUGGCAUGUGCUUGUAUUCCCAGUUACUUGGCAUGCUGAAGUUGUAGGAUUGCCUGAGCCCAGGAGGUACAGGUUGCCAUGAGUCAAGAUUGUAACCAGCCUGGGCAACAGAGGAAGACAUUGUCUCACCCUCCUUUUGAGGCUCAAGUGGAUUUUGGGAAUACCCGGGAAUUUACAGAUUGUAAAUAUUUAGAGCUCUUAAUCAAAAUCAUCUAUGAAGUCCUUUUGCGUGUGUGCCUGACCAAAACAAUUUUUGACUAUUAGGGGAUGUCCUAGUUCUAGGAAAAUUUGAAGUUGGUUUUUAGACCCUUAAGCGUAUAGAGUUUAGAUUACCCAAAUUUAUCCCUGCCCCCUCCAUAACACGUAGAGUUUCUGGUAGCCCUCUGCUUCACACUCAUGUUCAUCCCAAAGAAAGGACGGAAAAGUGGCUCUAAUGUUUUGAGAUUUUCUCUGUGCCUUGCACUUCCACAUACUAAUUUUUGCAUCAGCCCUUUCAGGAAUAUUUUAUUAUUUCCAGUUUGCCUGGGAAGAAACAGAAAGUCAGUGAAAUUAAAUGUAUUACUCAUCAUGAUACAGCCAGUGACAGUGAUGCCAGCAGUCAACACAUGUCCUUGAGGCCAGAUACCUGCUCUUUCUGCUGUUUGAUAGCACUCCCUAUGAAAUUCACCAUUACUCUACAUUUUGCCUGGUGCUCUGUCAUGCUGCUGAGAUUAUGAGUUGUGACUUCUGUUCUGUGGUGCAUUUCUUUCUGCUGUUUUUUCUGAUAAUCAAAAUCAUGCUAUGGUAUUAGUGGCUACCAAUGUCUUUUAGCAAAGGUAGGUCUUAACCCUGAAGAGAACUACUGGCAGAAAUGUAAGUCUUGUCAUCACUCUUUAACAUUGCCUGUACAAUGUCUGUGGGUGGGAGAACUUGGGAUGUAUUUUCUUUUAAGACUCCGAGGAUAGGGCACUACAGAACACUGUGUAUAUAGCACACUUGAAAAUUGUAUUGUGUGGAUGAAUGAAUAAGUUGAUGGGCAGCAUUCAACCUCAACAGAAAGGCAGUUUAAGUGGAUUUCCACUUGUGAGAGCCUUCUUUUUACUUUUCAUGAAUAGCAAUGUUAUCUGUACAAAUAUAGGUUUUGAGCCAAAUGGAACAUGGAAUCUAAGAAAUCAUAUACAAUGAAUGUGUUUGAAGCUUUUAUAAACUCUGAGUGAUUUAUAAAGUGAUGUUAUCUGAUUGCAGAUAACUUCUUUUGUCCCUUAGAGUGCAUUCUGGUAUUUGAAUGAAGAGUGUGGUGGAAGGCCGUUGCUGAACUCAAGCUGUGUCAAACUGCCUAACUACCCUGCUUUAUUAUUUGUGACGAGGGGUAAGGCUGGGUGAUAGCAAAAUAAAAUAUUGAUGGAAAUGCACUGAAAAUGUGUUAAAGCAACGUAUUUUGAAAUGUUUAUAGAGCUCUUUGAAGUGAAAUGAUGGUUUUAAGUGAAUUAAUAAGAUGUUAGCUCACCUCUUCAGUGAUAAAAUCGUGGUGACAAUGUAAAUUCUUAACCUCACACAAGAGUAUAGAUUCACUACAGGGUUUAUUAAUUUUCCAAAUUUCAGAUUAAUUUAAUAAUAACAAUAUGGGAAAUAUAUGCUACAAGGACUGAUUUUUUUCUUGUUAAUCUCUUUAAUAUUGACAUGACCUAAUAAAGAUGCAUGUGGCUGUUACAAGAUUUACACAUUGCUAAAUAUUUUUAGAUUGAUUUCAACAAGAGAGAUUGAAGACUGCUUCUUCAGAAGUCUCAGGAGAACUGUUUUAGCAUUUUUUGAUAAAAAGCUAUAUGCACAUAAUAAACAACCUCAAAUGUAAUAUUAUUUGAACACUUAAUCUAGUUGCCUUUUAACCUUCAUAAAAUGUUAGACCUAGAUUUCAAACUUAAUAACGGAGGUGAAGUGUGUGUUUGUGUGUUGUAGUUUUAAUAUAAUGAAGAUCUUAGAUUUUUCUCAGAAUAACCGACUCCACUUAUUUUCUUGGAAGACAAAAUGGAGAAAAAUAUGAUAGAAACAAAUGGAUAUGUAUGAAUAUCUUUACAAGUAUAUUUAUACAUGAGGCCACCAAUCUGUCCAUUUGGCAUCUUCUUAUUUUAGAAGAAACUAUACUUUGAUGAUAGCUUGUACCCAUUAUUUUAUGUUGCUGGAUCAUGGACAGAGACAUGGAACAAGAAGGAAAGCUAGGUGGAGCCGGCUUUCUGUAAGCCACAAGCUUUAUCUUUAACAGAAAAGCAAACUCUGAUGUUUUAGAUUCCAUUCUAAAGAGAAAAAAUAGAACACUCAACUGUUCUUGCUGGUGGACUACUAAUGACAGUAAAAGAUGAAUCCCAUUAAAAACAAACCAGAAUAAAUUGUCACUUAAUUGAACACAACAAUGCAAAGAUUGCCAAGGGGCUUGCUUUCCCACCACAAGUAUUUUGUUAGAAGUAUUCAAGAUCACAAUUGAACCCUAAAUUUACAUCAACUCUAAAUCUUUACCAUGUAAUUGCCUUACUAAUAGGUAACUAGAUUAAGAUGGUGACAUAUUUUAAAUGGAAUAUCCAGAGCUAUAUACAGCAUACUCAGUUUCCUUCAUUAAAGGAAUUUAUUUCUGGUUGCUUUCUAUUUCAUUAUAGCAGCUAUAAAUUCCUUGUUACAACACAUUAAUAAAAAUAUUUUUUUUUCUGAAGUUGUUAGACCCCAGACUAACAUAUUUAGAUUUAGAGAGCAAAGGCCUAAAUUGUUUUGCUAAAGACCAAAAUAGCUGGUAAAACUCUGCCUCUCCUCUUUUUCCCUCAGAUUUCAAUUGCGUUGAGUCUCAGGUUCUAAGGAUUUCUGUAGCACAAAUGGCAGCAUUUUCAUUAUUUUCUGCUGAGACCACACUGUACCGGACGUCAUCCUGUGCUUUCUAGAAGAGGGUCUCAAGCACUCUAGAACUUUCUAGGGAAAAACCUCCUCUUUUUGAGAGAAGAAAAACAAUAUAUUACCCUGGAUGCUUAUUCACAUAAUUUUAACCCAUUUUUCAGGAGAGCAGGAAAGAAAUACAGAAUCACUGGACUCUUAAUCUAGAUGCCCAGUUUAUUACAGUGAUUUUCACCAGCCUUCUUGUAUUGUGUUUUAGAUACUCUCUCUCAGCUGAUGUCAAAGCAUGAUCUGAACUGCUGGGGGUUCACUGAGAUCUUCUCUGAAGUCCACAUAGUCAAAAUUAUUGACAUAACCACAGUUAGACCUUAUUUGUCUUUUGCACUGUGUUGACGUUUGCACUGAUUGUGCAAAAGCCAUACUGGGUCAAACUACUGGUGUCUCAACACCAAGAAAGGCAGUGGUGCCUGCUGUGGUGGUGGUCAUUGUGUUCUUCACUGUCACUCACUCACAGGAUAUCUUUGAUGAAUCAGUAGAAAUUACAAAUGUUGCUAAGUAUCCAAUCUAAGUAUACCUCUUUAAUAGUCUACUAUCGAAGUAGGACGUAUUAAAAAAACAUUGCUGGCUUAGCAACGUACAAUGAACAUUUCAGGAAAAGAACUGGUGGGAUGGUUUGCCUUGGGAGCUGAACUCCCUUCCCAUGAAUUUCCAUUUGUACUUGAAAGGAUAACUAACAGGUACACACCGAAGUUACUCAGAGUUGGCUAUUUAGCCGACAUUUCUUAAAAAUAAACAAAAUGAACAUGUCCCUUUAGGGAAAACAACUGACAAUUUUUGUUUGCAAUGGUAAAAUUCAGGCUUUCAGGCAAAACUUAGAAUUUUGGAAAACUUGUAUAUGCCACCGUAAAUUAGACAGCUCCUUAAUACUUAAAGACUUUUUAGAUAAAAUUGGUAGUGAUAUUAACAAAUGUAGUUUUUUGAUACAUUACAUAUAUGUGUAAUGGAACACAUGAGUUGUAAUGCAUUCGUUACAUGAACAUGCAGGAGUGAAAGAUUCCUUUGAAAUUAAGACCGAUCAAUAUAUUUCAGUGUAGCAAAGUAGUGAUCCAAGUUGUAAAGUUCACUGAUAUAAUUUCAGUUUCCAUGUUAUGACUAGCUUUUAAGAAACUACCUCUUGUUGAGUUUUGGGGCAUAUUAAAGAAGAGUAUUCUUAAUUAACUGAAAGGCUUUUAUUUUAUUUUUUGAGACAAGGUCUCAUUCUGUUGCCCAGGCUGGAGUGCAGUGACACAAUAUCUGUUCACUGCAGCCUUGACCUCCCGGGCUCAGGUGACCCUCCUACCUCAGGCUCCUAAGUAGCUGUGGCUACAGGAGCACACCACCAUGCAAGGGCUAGUUUUUCAAUUAUUUGUAGAGACGGGGUCUCCCUACGUUGCCUAGGCUGAUCUAGAAUUCCUAGGCUUAAGUGAUCCUCCCACCUUGGCCUCCCAAAGUGGUGGGAUUACAGGUAUGAGCCACUGUGCCCUGCCUGAAAGUCUAUGAAAACUCAUUUUCCUUUUUCAGCUAUUCAUCUGUGUGAGAACAUAUUUCCUUCACAUACUUCAACUAAAAAUAACUAUUGAAAUAGAUUAAAUGCAGAAGCAAAAUAUCCAGCAGUCUUCCAUUAAAUCAGAC